UCAAAAACUUGCUACCAAGAUAGAAAUGUUGAAAGCUUAUCCUAAGUUUGAUCUCACUAUACUUAUCUAAAGGGAAUAGAGAAGGAGAGAAAAAGUCAGAAAUGGUUGGGGAAGGGGAGGGAAUGCAUUUUAAAAUAAAUACAAAAAAAAAAAAAGAAAAAAACUGGGGGUUGUAUUACAGGAUGAUCUAGUUGGGGACAGUCCUUCUUUGAGCAGGGGGCUAGACUAGAUGACCUCCUAAGGUCCCUUCCAACCUUAAUUUUCUAUAAACCUAUGAUUUAGGUUAGAUUAGUUUAUUGAACUUCUGUCUCAUAUUCCCCCAGGAUUCAAGUUAACUCACAGUCACCCAGCAUGCCAGGAUGCUUUGAACCUCCCCUGCAAACUUCCCCUCUCAAGGUGGGUGGGCUAGCCUUGGCCUAAGCUCUCUGUUCCAGCCCAACAGGGAGGCAUACAUUAGCACCCACUCUUUUCUGUCCUUGGCCACUGCAGGCAUGUGGCUGCAUUUCCAGAUUGAAAAGUAAAUGUCUGUCCACUUGCAUAUUGGUUCAAUCUAUGCAGUGUAGCCCAGUCUGCUACAAUAUAAUGUAGGCUUUUUGAUUGUCUUUACUUAGUUAUACUGUUCUGGAAGAAAACAGGUACACUUCUACAGUAGUUUUGUAACAAGAAAGUCAAGAGAACCUACUGUCACUUGCAUUUGCAUUUUGUACACUGCAAUAGCCUGAUUCCUGAUUGUGAAUAUCAUUAAACCAUUUAUUUCAAAUAUGUAGUAAGGAAGGAGUGGGCAGGUCACAUGCAGUUGCAGCUGAAUCAGAUAGUCUCUUCGUUUGUGGGAGGGGUGGGUUGCCUAUUGGCCUCUUGAGAUAAUUUAUGAAUAAAAGAAAGCAAACAGGCAGAUGGAAGGGAGGAUUUGAUGUGAAGUGGAUCGUAAGACCUGCUCAUCUUUCUGACCAAAAGGUCCAUUUGUAGCUCUGCUCUUAGUGAAACAGGUCAGCAAAAUACAGCUUUUCAUUUGUUUGGUGUGAAACCCUGGUAGGGUGACUGCUGGUGUUCAACAAUACUGGAAAGGAGCUGGAGGUGAAAGGGUACAUUUUUUGCCUUGUCACAUGCACUGCCCGACUCUGAGCCACAUGCUCCUUCCAGCAUUGCUUCAUCUCUCAGGAAAACACUGGUGGGGGUUGAACAAGAAUCAGAUAUAACGGAUUCUAAUCUGUCCGUGAAGUUUGGUCCUGUCAUUGUGUGGCUACAGGCUGAAUCUCUCACACUUGGCUUUCACUGUUUAUUUUCACAAAUGGUGUAUAUUUCAGCUUCUAUUCUUUUAUAUAUUAUUGAUUGAUCAUCAACUAUGUAUUACACAAGAAGAAAAUGAAACUGCUCUUUCCAUAGGACACAUAACACACAACUUGCUAAAAAAUCCAGAGGAUCAUAAUAAUUUAGUUUAUCUAAAUCUAGAUGGCUGAGUUAAUUUGUUACCAAUAUGUGAUGAGUUGAUGUUUCUGACUGGCUGACUUAAUGAGAUACUUGUAUCCAAAUAUUUAAAAUAGUUGAACAUCAUUAUGUUGUCAUUUUAAUGAACGAGGCUUUUUUAAAUGGGUGUCUUCUAUUGUUGAUAUCUAAAUAAAUAAAGUAUUUGUUUUAAAUGUUAA